rnacentral:rRNA from 1 species
CCUGGGUCAAUUAGAGGUAGUAAAAGUCGUAACAAGGUUUCCGUAGGUGAACCUGCGGAAGGAUCAUUAUUGUACCAACCGAGACGCAAGGGCUGUCGCUGACCGCAAGGUUGUGCACGCCUGAGUGCUCUCACCCUUAUCCACUUCACACUUGUGCAUCACCGCGUGGUGCCUCCUUUUCAAAAGGGGCUCACGUUUUCCACACAAUCACCCCCUUUAAGAGAGUUUAGAAUGUCUUUGCGGAUCACACGCAAUCAAUACAACUUUCAACAAUGGAUCUCUUGGCUCUCGCAUCGAUGAAGAACGCAGCGAAAUGCGAUAUGUAAUGUGAAUUGCAGAAUUCAGUGAAUCAUCGAAUCUUUGAACGCACCUUGCGCCCCUUGGCAUUCCGAGGGGCACACCCGUUUGAGUGUCGUGACAUCCUCAAACCUUCUCGGUUUCUUAACCGGAGAAGGGUUUGGACUUUGGAGGCAUUAUGCUGGCUUUCCUUUGAAGCCAGCUCCUCUUAAAUGGAUUAGUGGGGUCCCCUUUGCAGCUCCCUUGGUGUGAUAAGAUGCUUCUACGUCUUGGGACAGGCUCUUGUGACCUGCUUCUAACCGUCUCAUCAGAGACAUUGAUCGGGUUUGCCACCUUUUGUGGGUUGGUAAGCUUGGUCCAGAAACCUUGACCUCAAAUCGGGUGAGACUACCCGCUGAACUUAAGCAUAUCAAUAAGCGGGAGGAAA